ACUCUGAUUAUUCUCGGGCUCAGGCUCUGAUCAUCACGCCGAUGAAUGAGAGCCAGGUUUAAUGGCAGGAUGAAUGACGACGAAGCGGCCACUCAUCGUUCCCGUGCUUCACGAGGACAGUGCAAGUGAUUUUAAGGACAUCUGGAGGCUCACAGCUCAUCUUGGUAUACAUAGGUGAUAAAGGUGAUGAUUUAUUCAAAUAUUUAAUUUACUGAUCAGCAAGGAACAGCUUUUGUGCUCCAUCAUUCCUUCUAAACUAAAAAAUAUAUACUGAAGGAAGUUGUUUUCCUACUUAUGCCAGCUCAUCCGAAACAGCAACCUCUCAUACAGUAUCCAUCUCCUAGGCCCACAGAGGCACUCACCAGGUAAUGGGAACAGCUGCAAGGAGGGGAAGAAACUCUCUAAGUAGCUUGAAAUUUCUGCUGUUCUUGUCUGCUAUUGCACCCAGAUAUAUUAAAUGCACAUUUCUUAAUCUAGGCAGUGCCCUCACGCAUCUCAUAAUGCUAUGCUUGACCUUUUAUCGAAGAAAACUCUUAAUAAAUAACUCAGUGGAAAAGCUAUAUUUCCUUCAUGUACUGACAAUCACCCCAGACUCUGACUUCUGCCAUGGAACCUAGCCAAACCAUCAGCCUGCUAGCAUCACGUUUACUCCAACAACCCAAUCUUUCCUCAUCUGCACACAAGAGGAUACUUUUUCCUUUUGAAUCAGACACAGAGGAAUGUUCAUGGGGUUCAAGCACUGAGCAUUUCUCAGUUCUCCAAGCUCUGUGAAAAUGGCACUGCAGAGAGAAGGAGCACACAACCAGCAACACCGAUACCAUCACCUGCUCUCCUAUGAGAUGGAGUUAUGAUGAGUUGACUGCAGUGUGUCCUAUCCAAGAUUCCCAGCAGCAACUGCUAACAGGAAGGAAAUGCUGUUUGGUGAUGUAUUGCUAUAUGACAGUUCACAUAAACACAGGUAAAUUAGACAAUGACAUUAAUAACCUUGAUUGUUAUUGAUGUUUUUAGAACAAGAAUUAGGAUUUGCUGGCAAAAUCUUCUUGGUUAGUAUUGACUCCAGAAGGGAAAUAAGAGCAGACAAAUAUUUCAAUAUAUUAUCAAGCAGCUGAGCAACUCCCAAACCACAGUUAUCUUAAUGAUGUGACAAGCAUCAAGUACCCUAACAAGCAGGUUCCCAUAAAUCAAAGAAGUAACCUGUGUGACAUGUGACAAGUUUGUGAUUAGGAGAAAACUAAAAUAUUCAAACUCCGUUGUGCAGACAUGACCUGGAUCCAAAAUAUAUAGCGCUCCCUCUUUAGUAGUGAGCCAAAUUGGAUCCCAGUGCUAUCUGCCUCACCUGUCAAAGGUGUGAAGGCUGCCAAAUCCCAGGAUUCCAAAAAUCCUUUCUAACAAAUGUUGAGAAUACAUCAUCUCCUCACCAAACAGCCUAAUUAUCCUAGAAAACCAAUGGUUUCCCCAGUUACAAUACAUUGAUAUCUGAGGAAACAAUGUUUAUUUCCCUCUUCACCAUGCUCAAAAUUACUGCUGUAUUUCAGAAAGACCAAAUGCAAAACUAAAGGCAACUACAGGUACUUAAGUACUACUACUACAAAUCUGAUGGCAUUUAUGAUCAUCAGUGAAUGGGGAGAAAGUAAAAUGCUGCUCUAAAGCACCAAUGGUUUUAUUUAUUUGAAGAAACAAAACUUUUAUUUGCAUGUUAAAUGCAAUGUAAAUUUCUUCUUGUUCUGUGAGAGCAGAAAGUCCAACGGAAGGAAACUAAUCUGGGCAUCUUACUGUGGGAGAACCUGCAGCGUGAACUCAACCAAGCUAUUAGGCACUAAAGGAACACAUGGGAGGGAGCCACAGGGAACGGAGCUUCGUAAGUUCCCCUGGUCACAGAAUUACUUGUUCCUUUCUCAGUUAGGAUUAGCCUCUAUACAAGUGAAUGGAAAAGCUGUGAGAAACUCCAGCAGGUGACUUAUUAUGCAAUGCAAAAUUAAACACAGCCAAUCGGAUACAUUCUCUAUAUCUUUUUGAGUAAGAAAGUACAAUCCAAUUCCAAAAAGAAAAAUCUUCAUGUUUCCAUUUAUUCCCUGAAAACACUCCUGUUAAGAUAUCGUGAAAAAAGCCUGACAGUUUUGAGACUAUAUUAAUUCCUUUUACCAAACUGCAAAUGCCACUUGCAUAGAGAGGAAUGAAAGCAUGAGGCAGAUGCAGAAAAUUGCUCUAUUUGCUACUAGCAGAGCUAUUUAUAUGUUGACAAACAGUUGUGCCAAGAGCAGAUGGAUAUUUUCUAGUAUUGAAGAACUGCUAAUUGUGCGCUGCUGUUCCUCUCAAGUUCAUGGGGAAAAACCAUUGGUGUUCUGCAGAGCAAGGCACGAAGAAACCAGUUCAAACCGUGCACUUGGCAAAGCAGCCAACACCUCCUAGGAUGGCAUGGAGGAUGCCCUGGAGCAAGAAGAUGCUCAGCCAGAUGUCAGCUUAGCAACUCUCAGCAAAGCAUGACCACGAGGAGCAGCACUUUGCAAAUCUUCUGCAAGUCCUUCACAGAGGCAUACAAAUAAGGCGGAAGCAUUCAGUGCAGAGGCUGAUAAACAGCAUAUGCCAAUAAAGAAUUUACAAAGCCAUUUUGGCUACCCGCGUCUCACCCAUAUUUUAAUUAUGUGGAAACAUAGAUAUGCUUGUCCUAACGUACUGGAAUGAUACACAAUUAAUCUGACAAGGAAAAGGCAUCUGUCUGUAAAUCUGUAUGUUAUCUCAUCACUGCUUGUUUGUUUAUGAGGCUGAGGCAUGCACUGUAUUCUCACAACACAUUCGAUCACAUUGGCAUCAGGAGAAAGUGUGAAGGCAGAUAAAGAGCAGGAACCGCUUUCACAAACUGAACUGCCCCUAUCCAGCCCUGUACUCUGUGUCUUGAUAUUCUUAUAUGUAUCAGUACUAAAGUACAAUUUAGUUACCUUAAGAAAGUCUCAGACCUGAUUUAUCUGUGAGACACACUUCACAACACAAACCAAUUUUGCUGUAGUAAUACCAUGUCAAUAUUUCCUGACAGAAGACAAAUGUUGUUAUUAUUUUGCCACUUCUUACCUUUGUAAAAGUUUAGAAUUUUACAAAAUGACUCUUCUUUACAUGUCAAAAUGGUAAGUUGUUGGAAAGGAAAAAAAAAUUGAAGUCACUCAUAUCUAUUGACAGGGAUGGAUUCUGCAGCGAGGUUAAAAAUGAUUUGGGCACAAUAUUGACAUUUAAAAAUAUUAAAAGGAAACCCUAUUUUUAAUGGAUACCUAUAUAAAUGGGAAGAUAAAGCAGAUUUUUUUUUUUUUCGGUGUAUCCUGUGAUAUUAAAAAUGAUUUAUCUGU
ensembl:lncRNA